GUGAAAUUCCGUCGGAAUCUGGGAGGACCAUCUCCUAAGGCUAAAUACUCUCUAGUGACCGAUAGUGAACCAGUACCGUGAGGGAAAGGUGAAAAGCACCCCGGAAGGGGAGUGAAAUAGAACCUGAAACCGUGUGCUUACAAGUAGUCAGAGCCCGUUAAUGGGUGAUGGCGUGCCUUUUGUAGAAUGAACCGGCGAGUUACGAUUUGAUGCAAGGUUAAGCAGUAAAUGUGGAGCCGUAGCGAAAGCGAGUCUGAAUAGGGCGUUUAGUAUUUGGUCGUAGACCCGAAACCAGGUGAUCUACCCUUGGUCAGGUUGAAGUUCAGGUAACACUGAAUGGAGGACCGAACCGACUUACGUUGAAAAGUGAGCGGAUGAACUGAGGGUAGCGGAGAAAUUCCAAUCGAACCUGGAGAUAGCUGGUUCUCUCCGAAAUAGCUUUAGGGCUAGCCUCAAGUGAUGAUUAUUGGAGGUAGAGCACUGUUUGGAUGAGGGGCCCCUCUCGGGUUACCGAAUUCAGACAAACUCCGAAUGCCAAUUAAUUUAACUUGGGAGUCAGAACAUGGGUGAUAAGGUCCGU
rnacentral:rRNA from 1 species